UACGUAGGGUGCAAGCGUUGUCCGGAAUUAUUGGGCGUAAAGAGCUCGUAGGCGGUUUGUUGCGUCGGCUGUGAAAUCCCGAGGCUCAACCUCGGGUCUGCAGUCGAUACGAGCAAACUAGAGUGUUGCAGGGGAGACUGGAAUUCCUGGUGUAGCGGUGAAAUGCGCAGAUAUCAGGAGGAACACCAGUAGCGAAGGCGGUGGUCUGGGCCGGCACUGACGCUGAGGAGCGAAAGCGUGGGGAGCGAACAGG
rnacentral:rRNA from 1 species